GCAGCAGGUCGGUUUGUCGCUCCGGUAAUAUUAUCGGGGAGGAAAGUCCGGGCAACAUAGAGCACCAUACUUCCUAAAGGGAAGCUGUUCGCGAGGGCAGAUGAGCGUAACAGAAAAUAACCGCAAGCCUUUCGGGCUUGUAAGGGUGAAAAGGUGAGGUAAGAGCUUACCGGGUGUCGUAGCAAUACGAUGUGCCGUACGCAUUAUGGGUUGCAAGACCGUGUAUAUCGGAUAUGUAGGGUUGCUCGCCCGAUGCCGAGGGGUAGGUCGCUUUAAGGGCGGUGGCGACAUCGUUCUCAGAUAAAUGACAAACGUUUUCAAUUUUCGAAUUGAGAAAACAGAACCCGGCUUAUAGACCGGCUGCAUUU
rnacentral:RNase_P_RNA from 1 species